AUUGUCAUUUUGUAGUUAUUCAUAGGAGACAAAGCAGGACGAGUCAUGUUUUUCUUGCCGAUAAUGGCAAUAUUUACCAAUUGAUUUAAGCAAGCAAUGAAGCUUUUGUACAACGGGAACUAAACGACUGGUCACUGCAGAUGUGGGAUUGGAAAACCUCUUUAUGAGAAAAUACAUCUCAGAAUGUCUGCAUUUGAAAACUACCAAGGAUGGAGGCGAAUGCCUGAUACAGGAGCUGAAAAAGAGCAAUAUGUACAGGCCAAGAUGCUAAAUUUUUACAAGCAUAUUGAAGUGAUGUGUGUUCCACAGCAGUAAAUUAUGAAAAGAAAAUCAGUGCACAGUGAUGUGAUUUGUACUGGCCAAGGACAAGCAUACAAGCAUACAAGCUCGUACCGAAGUGAUGGGUGACAGACUUUCACUAGCAAAAUUAAAGGGAAAAAAUCAGAUAUUCAUUUCACAAAUACUGAGCAGAUUAUUGAAUUAAAAAAAAAUACAAUGCCAUUUCAGCUUGAUGUUUGAACAUUUUGUUAUACAUUCUAUAAGGCUGUGAAUGUUUGCAAAGCAUUUCAGUAUCAAGUGUCAUUCUACAUUUGAUUUUGUGUGAUGCAGAAAACAUUAAAAUAUGAACAGUAAUUUACAGACGUUCUGUUUCAUAAUUUUUCAUACAGCAGUGACAGAUUUUCCUCAGCAUAUUUCUUGAGAAAUCAGGUUUUUAUCUCACAGUUACUUUGCAGAUAUCUUGAAUUUCAACCAGCAUAAUGUCAUUUCAGCUUCAUAUGUUUGCAUUGAAUUACUUUCAUAAAUACUCUAUUCACUUUUUUUUAGAAAAUUUGAAAUGCCUUUCAGUCUUAUAUUUUUCUAUUACAGGUAGCUACUGCAGAGACCAGAUGCUAAAGACGGUGUUCACAGGGAUGUGUACUUUUUGAUGAAAACAGAGAUAGACCUUUUACCAUUGAAAAUAAUAGACUCUGAUGUAUUUCAUAUUUGGUUGUAUUGUGAAAAAAUGAAAUUUGCCCGUACAAGUGGCUAUGCCCGUAAAAAAGGCACACUAUUGCUUAUUGUGUUUGUUGUAUUUUAAUAUAAAAAGUAAUGACAGUCUCCGGGAUAAAGGUUUAGUGUUGGUUUGUCUGUAUCAUGAGUCUAAUUAUAGCCUGUCUUGUCUGUGCGCAAUUAAUACUUUGCCAGCUUGUAUGCUAAGUAUGAUGUCCUAAUGAAAUGUUAAGAGACACUGGCAUUCUCCUGUGUGAGUGAACAAGUUCACUCAUGCUGGUCAUGCCUCUGUUUAUUAAGUGGUAGACAAGUGUGGUCUAUCACAUUUCGGAGAUACAUAUAAUUAGAUCAAGCAAGGGUCGUUGACAAAUAUAGCAUGAGACGUGAAAACUCGAAACAUCAUUUUACUACAUUUAUACUUUUAAGUACACUUCUGAGAUAUUUCAAAACUUUAACACUUUAAAAAACAAAACUCUGAUUUCUGACUGAUCAUUUUUCCUGAACGUCUCAUUUUAUCUUUGCCAACGAGCCCUUCAUAUAUCCAACCACAUGCUUCUGCAUCGAAACUGCAGUCAAACCUCUAAUACUCUAGUAUGAUGAAAAGGUGUAGCACUUACAAUGCAUCGUCUCAAUGCGAAUAAAGCGAAAUACAAAAUCCUAAAGAUGCGUCUUAUCAACCUUUCAAGUAAGCUGUAAUAUAAAAUCAUUAUAAGACCCGUAUCAAACUACCAGAAUGUCAAAACAUGACCAUAAGGCUAUAUCAAAGAUUUGAAAUGAUUUACGAUGCAAUAGUAUGAUGUUGGAAUUUUAUCCUUCAUACAACCGUAAUGCUACAUGAUGGUUACAAUUUUAUCUUUGUCCUUAUAUGAUGUUGAGCAAUUUUUCCUCACUUGUUUGGAUUUUGAUCGGCAUGGGUUAAGUGUUAAUGCUGGUUAUCAUGACCCGACUCUAUAUUUGGCGAGGCAGCGAAGCCGGUAUAGGGAAUUGCUUA